UACGGGGGGGGCAAGCGUUGUUCGGAAUUACUGGGCGUAAAGGGCUCGUAGGCGGCCAACUAAGUCAGACGUGAAAUCCCCGAGCUUAACUUGGGAACUGCCGUUGAUACUAUAUGUCUUGAAUGUCGUGGAGGUUAGCGGAAUAUGUCAUGUAGCGGUGAAAUGCUUAGAUAUGACAUAGAACACCCAUUGCGAAGGCAGCUAACUACGCGAAUAUUGACGCUGAGGCACGAAAGCGUGGGGAUCAAACAGG
rnacentral:rRNA from 1 species